rnacentral:rRNA from 1 species
UACGGAGGGCGCGAGCGUUGUCCGGAUUUAUUGGGCGUAAAGAGCUCGUAGGCGGCUUGUCGCGUCGACUGUGAAAUCCCGAGGCUCAACUUCGGGCUUGCAGUCGAUACGGGCAGGCUAGAGUUCGGUAGGGGAGACUGGAAUUCCUGGUGUAGCGGUGAAAUGCGCAGAUAUCAGGAGGAACACCGAUGGCGAAGGCAGGUCUCUGGGCCGAUACUGACGCUGAGAGACGAAAGCUAGGGGAGCGAAUGGG